CCGUACACAAAAGCGCAUGUGCUGUGAGCUCGAUGAGUAGGGCGGGACACGUGGUAUCCUGUCUGAAUAUGGGGGGACCAUCCUCCAAGGCUAAAUACUCCUGACUGACCGAUAGUGAACCAGUACCGUGAGGGAAAGGCGAAAAGAACCCCGGCGAGGGGAGUGAAAAAGAACCUGAAACCGUGUACGUACAAGCAGUGGGAGCACAGGUUUACCUGUGUGACUGCGUACCUUUUGUAUAAUGGGUCAGCGACUUAUAUUCUGUAGCAAGGUUAACCGUAUAGGGGAGCCGGAGGGAAACCGAGUCUUAAUUGGGCGUUAAGUUGCAGGGUAUAGACCCGAAACCCGGUGAUCUAGCCAUGGGCAGGUUGAAGGUUGGGUAACACUAACUGGAGGACCGAACCGACUAAUGUUGAAAAAUUAGCGGAUGACCUGUGGCUGGGGGUGAAAGGCCAAUCAAACCGGGAGAUAGCUGGUUCUCCCCGAAAGCUAUUUAGGUAGCGCCUCGUGAAUUCAUCUCCGGGGGUAGAGCACUGUUUCGGCUAGGGGGCCAUCCCGGCUUACCAACCCGAUGCAAACUGCGAAUACCGGAGAAUGUUAUCACGGGAGACACACGGCGGGUGCUAACGUCCGUCGUGAAGAGGGAAACAACCCAGACCGCCAGCUAAGGUCCCAAAGUCAUGGUUAAGUGGGAAACGAUGUGGGAAGGCCCAGACAGCCAGGAUGUUGGCUUAGAAGCAGCCAUCAUUUAAAGAAAGCGUAAUAGCUCACUGGUCGAGUCGGCCUGCGCGGAAGAUGUAACGGGGCUAAACCAUGCACCGAAGCUGCGGCAGCGAACGUAUCACCCAAGACAACUUUACGGAGUUGACGAUUGACGGAGCGAAGCGACGUCAAAGCGUUCAUUAAAGUCGAGUUGGCUUAGGGAUACGUUCGUUGGGUAGGGGAGCGUUCUGUAAGCCUGUGAAGGUGUGUCGUGAGGCAUGCUGGAGGUAUCAGAAGUGCGAAUGCUGACAUAAGUAACGAUAAAGCGGGUGAAAAGCCCGCUCGCCGGAAGACCAAGGGUUCCUGUCCAACGUUAAUCGGGGCAGGGUGAGUCGACCCCUAAGGCGAGGCCGAAAGGCGUAGUCGAUGGGAAACGGGUUAAUAUUCCCGUACUUGGUGUUACUGCGAAGGGGGGACGGAGAAGGCUAUGUUGGCCGGGCGACGGUUGUCCCGGUUUAAGCGUGUAGGUGUGUGUUCCAGGUAAAUCCGGUUCACUUUAACACUGAGGCGUGACGACGAGGCACUACGGUGCUGAAGCAACAAAUGCCCUGCUUCCAGGAAAAGCCUCUAAGCAUCAGGUAACAUCAAAUCGUACCCCAAACCGACACAGGUGGUCAGGUAGAGAAUACCAAGGCGCUUGAGAGAACUCGGGUGAAGGAACUAGGCAAAAUGGUGCCGUAACUUCGGGAGAAGGCACGCUGACAC
rnacentral:rRNA from 1 species